rnacentral:lncRNA from 1 species
CAAACAAAUGUGUGCAAAGUUAAAAAAAUAUGUUACGUACCCAAACAGAUUUUCUUUCUGUCGCUAUUUUUCUAGCUUGGAAUAAAUGCUCUUAUUUUCUUCGUCUCGUUUUCCUGCUCAUCUCUUUUUCUGUGGAUGUUUGGCUAACCAGCUGAAAAGCCUCGCCAAUGACCAUAACUCAAUUUGCGUAGAUGAAGCAAAGUACGGCGCAGUAAACGGAAGAGGCAAGCGUAAACUGCUUUCAAGAAUACUGACGGAAAAUCUGUGUCCGCGAAUGUGUGUGUCUGUGUGAGUGUAGCCUACGUGAGAGCUGGUCAUGCACACUUUGAUUUGUGGAGAGAAGUUGUUUUGCUUUCACCAGCACUUGAUGAAAUAACAGUGCUUGCAGUAGAACUACUGUGAGUAUUUCCGGAGAUGAUCGGGUGCUUUCAGCUGGAGAGGGCUUCAAUCUGAGCUGUGAGUUCACAUGUCUGAGAGCCCAAUAUGUGGCACAGCUGUGGAGGAACAGCCCGCAAGAGGAGAGUGUGUCUCUUGUCAAUAUUACCACCAUCCUCCUCAAUGUGACCCCGGUCAUGAGUAUCAGCUCUGCUACAGAGGCCGACACUGGUUAUUACUCCUGCAUGACCCAGCCGCCCAACACAAUCAGCCUCGCCAUCUUAAUUCAGAUAGCAGAUAACCUGACAACAUCCACCCUGACCACCUCCAGCCCCCCGCGGUGGGACAGCACCCAGCAGCACAGCAGUGCAGCAGGUCUGCAGGGUCAGCUAUGGUUUUGGAUUCUGCAGGGAAAAACUGCCAUUCUCCUCCUCCUCAGUUUGGCCUCCCUGGCUGUAAAAUACAAGAGGGGAUGAGAAGAGAAGGAUUGAGAUCUCUCUCCCCACAACAAUGCUUUGUUUUUACUCCUUACAUGGUUUGGUUUAUUUUUGUUAUAAAUAAAAUUGGUGGUAAUAUGAGAAUGUUGACCACAAAAACUACAAUUGUUCAUAAUUUAUUUGUAUGUUUGCCGUAAUGGUGUGUGAUCAUACUAUGUAACAAAAUCUAAAUUCCAAUGCAGAUGCAUCAAACAGUGCUUCCUCAAAGUAGAUCCAUCGCUGCUCCCACCCUCUGGAACUCACCACCUCAAACCAUCAGAGACUUAAAACAUCACUGCAGACUCACCUGUUCAACACUGCCUUCAACCACU